GUGCUGCCCGUGGGGUGGGAUGCUGGAAUUGCCUGACUGGCUGUGUGCUGAGCUCUGGCUGCAGGGGACUGUCAGGCCUUGGUGGCUCUGUUCCCUGAUGUCCAUUCACUGGCCUGAAUUCCUUCCAUUCACUGGGCUGAAUUCCUUGCAGCUCCCAGCUGGGGAAACCUGGGAGAACAUGGCAGGGACAGAGGUGACAUUUGUAGCUGCCAACUUGGGGUAAUUUCGAGGGGACCCAGGAACUGUUUCUGAAGGAAAAGAUGCUGGAAUUGCCUCUCUGGCUGUGUGCUGAGCUCUGGCUGCAGGGGACUGUCAGGCCUUGGUGGCUCCUCCUUGCAGCUCCCAGCUGGGAAAACCUGGGAUAACUGAGGAGGGACCGAGAUGAAGGUUUUAUCUGCAGACAUAGGCUAAUUUCUAGGGGAUACAGCAACUGUUUGUGUGGGAAAGUGUGUUUAACCACAUUGGCCCAAGUUGUGUUUGAACCAGCUUGGAAAACCUGGGAUAACUGAGGAGGGACAGAGAUGAAGGUUUUGUCUGCAAACUUGGGGUAGUUUCUAGGGGAUACAGCAACUGUUUUUGUAGGAAAGUGUGUUUAACCACAUUGGCCCAAGUUGUGUUUGCACCAGCUGGGACCAGAGGUGCCAGGCAAUCCAAAGCAAACCCUGCUCAGCCUCUAAAUCCCAGGGGAAGUUCUCCAAGCUGCUCAUUGAGGGACUAAAGAUACAUUGAAAUGGAACCAAGAGCACUACUAAGUUUCCUGAGAAUCCCAGUAUUGCUGUCCUAGAAUUUUUAACCGGUUUUUUAAGCUUUUUAUGACAAAAAUUACUUUCUUCCUUUGAUUGAGUCCCGCGGUAGGAUUUGGGAUUUCUGUGGAUUCUGAAUCCCUCCCAGUGGCCCUGACACUGGUCAGAGCUGGCAGGACAAACAGAGUCAGAGCUCCUGGCAGGCACAGGGGCUUUCCCCCAGAGUGGAUCCAACUGCUGCCCCCCAGCCUGGCCAGGCGGGAUCUGCUUUGGCU